UACGGAGGGUGCAAGCGUUGUUCGGAAUCACUGGGCGUAAAGCGCGUGUAGGCGGCCUCCUCAGUCUGGUGUGAAAGCCCGGGGCUCAACCCCGGAAGUGCAUUGGAUACUGGGAGGCUGGAGUACCGGAGAGGAGGGUGGAAUUCCUGGUGUAGCGGUGAAAUGCGUAGAUAUCUGGAGGAACACCGGUGGCGAAGGCGGCAUCCUGGACCAUUACUGACACUGAAAAGCGAAAGCCAGGGGAGCAAACGGG
rnacentral:rRNA from 1 species